UAUUAGUCUAUAUCAGUUGUUAGGAUAAAUAACCUACCAAAGUUCACAUAGCUGCUAAGUGAUUGAAAUGAGAUUUGAAUUUAGGCAGAGGAUUCCAGAGUCUGUUCUCUUUGACAUAUGGUCAUAACCAUCUUUCCAUGUCAAUAAAUAUAGACUUCACCCGUACUUUUAUUGGGUGUGUAGUAUUUCACUAUCAUCUCACUCAAACUCUUAGUAAUAUUCUGAUCUCUUCAUUUCUUGAAAUGAUUCUUUACAUGCUCUUCUUUCUAAGUUUCCCUCAUGGUUCAUUCUCUAACUGACUUCUAAAUAUUGCCGUUUCCAAUGGCCACGCUCUUUGUUUAUUUUAUUUGCAUUCUUAAGGCAAGCUCGUGAGUUCCUGGGACUUUAAAUACAGUUAAUAUAAUAACAAGGCUCAAAUUUGUAGUUAUGGCACAGAACUUUGUACUUUGCUCUCCAAGUCAUAUCCGCAUUGACUUAUUUGACAUCUCCAUGAAGAUGUGUCAUAGACCUCUAAAAUGUGAAAUUAGAAUGUUUGACUCCUUUGUUCUUCCUCCACAAAUCUGUUUCUUCUCUUUCUGAUCUUAGUAAAUGGCUCUUGCAUUAACUUAGUUGUUCAAGUCAAAAAAUUAGGAGUCAUCAUUGAUUACUCUUUUUUCUGUUCAACCCUUGUAGUUAACUUUUCAGUAAGCCCUGUUUCUGCUUUCAUAAUAUUUCUCCAGUUCAUCCACUUUCACUGUCAUCACCUUCAUCAGGGCACUCCAUCAUUACCCAGUUAUGUAUGAACACCUGCUUUGCAUUGUGUUUUUGACUUCUGCUAACAGUGUUUCACCAUUGUUACUGUUGAUCUUAGGUUGUGAAGCACCGAUGGAGACAGUGUCAGGACUCUGCUUAUUAUAUCUGUAAAUUCAUACUAUCCAAGCUCAGUUAGACUGACAUUACUGUUUAGCAGACUGUCUUCCCUCUGCUUGAACUAUCCUUGUGUUCUCAUGUAUUACUCCUAUCCCCAUUCCCAGCUUGAGUGUAUUGGAAUUAAGAGUGGAGCUUUUUUCUAGCAUACAUGUUUUGUUUUUUCUUUUUUCUUUAUUUCCCCACCCCCUUUUAUUGAGUUAGAUAAAGAAUGGGAAUUCUGCAUCUGAUCUGACUACUAUAAACUGCUGUCAAGUUGACCUUAUAAAAUAUAUUUAUGUAUAAUUUCUGUCUGUAUUUAAUGGAUCUUUUUCCUGCUGAAUGAACUAUGAAAUCAUCAUGCUGGCCUUCUAGGCCAUCUUUUAAGAUGUUUCUAAUUAAAAAAAAAAAAAAAAAAAUCUUAAACCCUUAUCUUCCACUGAGCUAUAUUCAUUGUAGCCAGACUACUCAUUUCAGCGCAUGCUGAGCCUGCUGGUUUUUUUUUUUUUCUUUGUUUUUUUUUUUUUUUUUUGGUCUCUUUCUUCAAUCAUACAGUCUUACUCUGUGUCUCUCAAUGUUCAUUUUAAGAAAACUUCUAGUUCCUUUUACUCUUCCUUCUGCCUCUCAUCUGAAUGUGAUCUCUCCUCUGUAUCCUUUAAUUAUUUUAUCAUAUUAUGCUUCGUGCUACAGUUUAUAUACUUUUAUUUCCUUUUUUUUAAUGGUGAAAAGAUAUACAUAUAUUUAGAGUUAACCAGCUGGACUCAGUUUAGAUGAUCCCAGUUUUGUUGGCAACAUCUAGAGCAUUGUAAUCAGGAGCCAAUUGAACAUAUGCUUUUUUCUCUCCGUCAGGCUGAAUCAGGGUGUUGACCUUGGCCACAUCAGUGUCAUAAGAGCUUCUUCACAGCCUGUUUGAUCUGGUGCUUGUUGGCUUUAACAUCCACAGUGAACACAAGUGUGUUCUUCAUGGCAGACUCAGUGGUCAGUGGAAACUUGGUGGUAGCACAGUGGUCAAGCUUGUUUCUCCUGGGGGUGCUCUUCCAAGGAUAUUUGGACUGCCUCUGGAGUCGCAGUGUCUUGGGCCACUAGAAGGUGGAGGACGUGCAGAUCUUCUUUUUUUGUGGCUGUGGACACCUUUCAACACUGCCUUCUUGGCUUUUAAACCCUUGGCUUUGGCUUCGGGUUUAGGAGAGGCAGGAGCUUGCUUCUUCGAUGGCACCAUCUUGCUAAAAGGCUUAAAAAAAAAAUAUAUAUAUAUAUAUAUAUAUAGUAAAACGUUGACGGCAGGAACUGUGUCUUUCAAAUACUUUUGGCAUUUCCAUAACGGAUUCAUAGCUAUUCUAAAUAGUUCACGCAUAUCUGGGGAGAUGAUCUUAUUUAGUCAAGUUCACAGUUUUGGAGGAAUAUCUAUAGAGCAGCCGGAAAAAAAAGAGAACCCUCAUUAUAGGCAUUUGUCAGUUCAACCCAGACAUUGGUAGCUAAUGUGUAACUGUGCACCCAGAUCAUAUCUGGAGUUAGAUUUUUCUUGUCUUUCAGUAUCCUGUAUAGCACAGAACCUUGAAUGUAGAAAGUUUUUAUUGAAGUGAAUUGACUGUGAUCCUUCCUGAUCACUGGGCUUAUUGUUUCCUGGGCAUCCACUGGCUUGCUUUUAAUUUAGUUUUAAACCAGGCUUUUAAAGUAGAACCAACCAGAAGGCAGAGAUGUUGGGGACAUGAUUUUCCAAUGGUACUCAUGUAAACUUAACUUUUUAAUUCCUUUUUUGGAAUAAAACAGGCUCUUGACUGUUUACAGGGUUAUUUCUAAGUUGCAAAAAUUAUCUGUCUUUCAACAUGUUUUGGUAAUUCCUAUAUCCUCCAUUUGAUCUUGGCUGCCACAAACAGAAAGUACGAGAACAUUUUUUUCUUAUGUCUAUGGUAGAAAUAGUAACUGCUCCAGGUCUGUCAAGUACAUCGAUUAGAUCUUCUUAUAAAAAUAAUAUAAUAUUUUUUAUAAUAAAAAUAAAUUUGAAAUCUUCAAGUGAGGUGUUUUGGUUAGAAUUAUUUUCAAAACAUUUUGUCCAUAAGCGUUUGAGGAGGUCUGUUUUAGGAUUUUCUAAGUAUAUUAGUCAGUUUUCACACUGUGAAUAAAGACAUACCGGAGACUGGGCAAUAAACAAAAGAAAGAGGUUUAUUGGACUUACAGUUCUGCAUGGCUAGGGAGGCUUCACAAUCGUGGUGGGAGGCAAGGAGCAGCACGUCAGGUCUUAUGUGGAUGGCAGCAGGCAAAAAGAGCUUGUGCAGGAAAACUCCCCCUUAUAAUAACCAUUAGAUCCUGUGAGACUUAAUAUCAUGAGAACAGCACAGGAGAGACCUGCCCACAUAAUUUGUUACCUCCCACCAGGUCUCUCCCACAACACAAGGGAAUUCAAGAUGAGAUUUAGUUGUGGACACAGCCAAACCAUAUCAGCAAAUAUGUCUCUGGCUACACUUAGGAAUGUCUUAUCUACUUAAUUUUUUUUUUAAGUUCUGCAUAUUACCUUCAGAAAGUACAAAUAAAAAUAAGAAUAAAAAUUACCAAAGAUUUUAUCAGUCAUGUUAUUACCCUGUUAACUUUUGAUAUCUAUCUAUCUAUCUAUCUAUCUAUCUAUCUGUUUUUCUCAUAUGGAUAG